GACGAACGCUGGCGGCGUGCUUAACACAUGCAAGUCGAACGGAAAGGCCCUGCCUUUGUGGGGUGCUCGAGUGGCGAACGGGUGAGUAACACGUGAGUAACCUGCCCUUGACUUUGGGAUAACUUCAGGAAACUGGGGCUAAUACCGGAUAGGAGCUCCUGCUGCAUGGUGGGGGUUGGAAAGUUUCGGCGGUUGGGGAUGGACUCGCGGCUUAUCAGCUUGUUGGUGGGGUAGUGGCUUACCAAGGCUUUGACGGGUAGCCGGCCUGAGAGGGUGACCGGCCACAUUGGGACUGAGAUACGGCCCAGACUCCUACGGGAGGCAGCAGUGGGGAAUAUUGCACAAUGGGCGGAAGCCUGAUGCAGCAACGCCGCGUGCGGGAUGACGGCCUUCGGGUUGUAAACCGCUUUCGCCUGUGACGAAGCGUGAGUGACGGUAAUGGGGAAAGAAGCACCGGCUAACUACGU
rnacentral:rRNA from 1 species